rnacentral:tRNA from 1 species
GCCCCCAUAGCUCAGAUGGUAGAGCGACGGACUGUUAAUCCGUAGGUCGCAGGUUCGAGUCCUGCUGGGGGCG